rnacentral:rRNA from 1 species
CCUACGGGAGGCUGCAGUGAGGAAUAUUGGUCAAUGGACGAGAGUCUGAACCAGCCAAGUAGCGUGAAGGAUGACUGCCCUAUGGGUUGUAAACUUCUUUUAUAUGGGAAUAAAAUGUUCCACGUGUGGGAUUUUGUAUGUACCAUAUGAAUAAGGAUCGGCUAACUCCGUGCCAGCAGCCGCGGUAAUACGGAGGAUCCGAGCGUUAUCCGGAUUUAUUGGGUUUAAAGGGAGCGUAGGUGGAUUGGUAAGUCAGUUGUGAAAGUUUGCGGCUCAACCGUAAAAUUGCAGUUGAAACUGGCAGUCGUGAGUACAGUAGAGGUGGGCGGAAUUCGUGGUGUAGCGGUGAAAUGCUUAGAUAUCACGAAGAACUCCGAUUGCGAAGGCAGCUCACUGGACUGCAACUGACACUGAGGCUCGAAAGUGUGGGUAUCAAACAGGAUUAGAUACCCCGGUAGUC